rnacentral:rRNA from 1 species
CCCAAAAAAGACAGUCUCAGUUCGGAUUGAAGGCUGAAAUUCGCCUUCAUGAAGCCGGAAUUGCUAGUAAUGGCAGGUCAGCAUACUGCCGUGAAUACGUUCCCGGGCCUUGUACACACCGCCCGUCCACACCAUGAGAGUUGGGGAUACCCGAAGCCUGUGAGCUAACAGUAAUGAAGCAGCAGUCGAAGGUAGAAUCAAUGAUUGGGGUGAAGUCGUAACAAGGUAAC